CCUGGCAGCAAUAGCGAACGGGAACCACCCGAUCCCUUUCCGAACUCGGAAGUGAAAACGUUCUGCGCCGAUGAUAGUGUGGGGUUUCGCCAUGCGAAAGUAGGACACCGCCAGGC
rnacentral:rRNA from 1 species